AUGUCUGGGAAACUGCCUGAUGGAGGGGGGACGAACUACUGGAAACGGUAGCUAAUACCGCAUAACGUCGCAAGACCAAAGAGGGGGACCUUCGGGCCUCUUGCCAUCAGAUGUGCCCAGAUGGGAUUAGCUAGUAGGUGGGGUAACGGGCUCACCUAGGCGACGAUCCCUAGCUGGUCUGAGAGGAUGACCAGCCACACUGGAACUGAGACACGGUCCAGACUCCUACGGGAGGCAGCAUG
rnacentral:rRNA from 1 species